rnacentral:ncRNA from 1 species
ACUUAAGUGAUGAUGAAGAGUAGUAUUCUAUACGGAUACAAGCAGAGAGCCGGUGGUUGGUGUAAACCGGUGUUGAAGUGUAGAUGAAUGGACUUCUGAACUUCCAAACUGAACCUAAUGAAAUAAUUAGUAGUAGGCUUUGGCGAAUGUCUCAUCGUUAUAAGAGACGGGUAUUAAGAAAAAUAUUCUUGAUACUGUCAAAGCUGAGCUAUUUCAAGCUAAUAAAGGUGGCACCGCGGGUUCCUCGUCCUUUAC